rnacentral:rRNA from 1 species
CAUGCAAGUCGAGCGGAGAUUUGAAAAGCUUGCUUUUCAAAUCUUAGCGGCGGACGGGUGAGUAACACGUGGGCAACCCGCCCUUGAGACGGGGAUAACUCCGGGAAACCGGAGCUAAUACCGGAUAACACAUAUCUUCGCAUGAGGAUAUGUUAGAAGGUGGCUUUUAGCUACCACUCAAGGAUGGGCCCGCGGCGCAUUAGCUAGUUGGUGAGGUAACGGCUCACCAAGGCGACGAUGCGUAGCCGACCUGAGAGGGUGAUCGGCCACACUGGGACUGAGACACGGCCCAGACUCCUACGGGAGGCAGCAGUAGGGAAUCUUCCGCAAUGGACGAAAGUCUGACGGAGCAACGCCGCGUGAGUGAUGAAGGUUUUCGGAUCGUAAAGCUCUGUUGUUAGGGAAGAACAAGUACCUGUUGAAUAAGCAGGUACCUUGACGGUACCUAACCAGAAAGCCACGGCUAACUACGUGCCAGCAGCCGCGGUAAUACGUAGGUGGCAAGCGUUGUCCGGAAUUAUUGGGCGUAAAGCGCGCGCAGGCGGUUCCUUAAGUCUGAUGUGAAAGCCCACGGCUCAACCGUGGAGGGUCAUUGGAAACUGGGGAACUUGAGUGCAGAAGAGGAGAGCGGAAUUCCACGUGUAGCGGUGAAAUGCGUAGAGAUGUGGAGACACCAGUGGCGAAGCGGCUCUCUGGUCUGUAACUGACGCUGA